rnacentral:lncRNA from 1 species
CCAGUAUGUCCAGUCUGCCAUGUUGUUCAGCCCUCACCCUGUCAAACAGCGCCUUGAUUUCUUCAUCCUUACUGUGAUCACACUGAACAGAAUAUAUUGAUGAGAAGACGGCGAUAUAUACCGGGUCCUGCCCUGUGAAAGCCCCCCCUUAUCAUAUACCAGACACACCCGUGGUGAACGCUGUCAUUCAGGUUCCGUUCGCUGCUUCAGAUCCAGAUAGAGCAGAUAAGACCGU